rnacentral:rRNA from 1 species
UACGGGGGGGGGUAAGCGUUGUUCGGAAUUACUGGGCGUAAAGGGCUCGUAGGCGGCCAACUAAGUCAGACGUGAAAUCCCUCAGCUUAACUGGGGAACUGCGUCUGAUACUGGAUGGCUUGGAUUUGGGAGAGGGAUGCGGAAUUCCAGGUGUAGCGGUGAAAUGCGUAGAUAUCUGGAGGAACACCGGUGGCGAAGGCGGCAUCCUGGACCAAUAUUGACGCUGAGGAGCGAAAGCUAGGGGAGCAAACGGG